rfam:Erwinia tracheiphila strain BuffGH Etrach_2, whole genome shotgun sequence.
CACUCCAACAUGAAUGCGAAUUUUCGUUUCUUUUUUUACUUUAGCACCUGACCACAGGGGGCUUGCGCUAAGAGAAGAAACGAAAAAUCGCGCUGAAGGCCUCCCUUGUGGAGGCUUUUUUAUU